rnacentral:lncRNA from 1 species
UUUCUUUCUUCCCAUUCAUCGAGAGAUGUCUGGUCGUGGUUUCUUUCUUCCCAUUCAUCGAGAGAUGUCUGGUCGUGGUUUCUUUCUUCCCAUUCAUCCGUUGAUGUCUAGUCGUGGUUUCUUUCUUCCCAUUCAUCCGUUGAUGUCUGGUCGUGGUUUCUUUCUUCCCAUUCAUCGAGGGAUGUCUGGUCGUGGUUUCUCUCUUCCCAUUCAUCCGUUGAUGUCUGGUCGU